GACAUAGCUCAGGAGGUAAGACCGAUUGUCUGGCAAUCGGAGGGUUGCUGGUUCAAACCCCGCCCUGGGCAUGUCGAAGUGUCCUUGAGCAAGACACCUAAUCCCUAACUGCUCUGGCGAAUGAGAGGCAUCAAUUGUAAAGCGCUUUGGAUAAAAGCGCUAUAUAAAUGCAGUCCAUUUACCAUUACGAUUCGGGCAAAAGUACUGUUGUGUCGUUCGCGAACGAUUCGGGCAAGUGUACUGUCGUUCGCGAACGAUUCGGGGCGGGCGUAGUACGUUCAGUGAACGAAUCACUGAACUGCGAACGAUAGUCAGUCAGUGAACUACCAACGACACAUCACUAAUGAAACUGAAAGUGUUUCAAACUCAGGCGCUGUUAUAAAGACGCAUAAGAAAGAAGACCGAACGUAUUUUAAUAAAAGAACGCAGUAAUUUUAAAUCCCUUCAGUAAAUAGUUAAAAGGAAGAACUUGGAUUCAAGAGUCUCUUUGAGUCACGCAUCAACUAUAUGCUUGAAUUCAAUAGCUUAAGCGGGCAUUUUGAACAACUAGAAGGAGCCACAUUUACAGAGCUCUUGCACAGAAACCUUAUGAUCUAAAUCCCGUGACUUUAUGGUCAUGACAUCACAACAGAGGGGUUGGGUAAGAACCCACAUGUGGUUUAAACUGGUCUGAUGUGUUCCGGUCUCCUGAGGUAGGGGGCGCUGCUCAUAAAAUGAGUCUCUCAGG